rnacentral:rRNA from 1 species
UACGUAGGGGGCAAGCGUUGUCCGGAAUCAUUGGGCGUAAAGCGCGUGUAGGCGGCUCGAUAAGUCUGCUGUGAAAGUCCAGGGCUCAACCCUGGGAUGCCGGUAGAUACUGUCGAGCUCGAGUCCGGAAGAGGCGAGUGGAAUUCCUGGUGUAGCGGUGAAAUGCGCAGAUAUCAGGAGGAACACCAAUGGCGAAGGCAGCUCGCUGGGACGUGACUGACGCUGAGACGCGAAAGCGUGGGGAGCAAACAGG